rnacentral:rRNA from 1 species
GGAGUUAGGAAAUGUAAGUGCGCUAAUAUCGUGCUUAUUUGACAAAGGCUCCAAAGGAAGCCACGGCUAACUCUGUGCCAGCAGCCGCGGUAAUACAGAGGUGGCAAGCGUUGUUCGGAAUUAUUGGGCGUAAAGAGCACGUAGGUGGGUUUGCAAGUCAGAUGUGAAAGCCUUCUGUUCAACGGAAGAAUUGCAUCUGAAACUGCUAAUCUUGAGUAUAGGAGGGGAGAGUGGAAC